ensembl:miRNA mir-356.2 ncRNA
UGGUGAGACACGUCGUAACGAAUCCGCUGAAAUUUACAUUGAUGAUUUGUUCGCGUUGCUCAACCACA